UGGGGAAUAUUGCACAAUGGGCGAAAGCCUGAUGCAGCCAUGCCGCGUGAGUGAUGAAGGCCUUAGGGUUGUAAAGCUCUUUCACCGGUGAAGAUAAUGACGGUAGCCGGAGAAGAAGCCCCGGCUAACUCCGUGCCAGCAGCCGCGGUAAUACGGAGGGGGCUAGCGUUGUUCGGAAUUACUGGGCGUAAAGCGCACGUAGGCGGAUUUGUAAGUUGGGGGUGAAAGCCCAAGGCUCAACCUUGGAAUUGCCUUCGAUACUGCAUGUCUAGAGUCCGGAAGAGGUGAGUGGAAUUCCUAGUGUAGAGGUGAAAUUCGUAGAUAUUAGGAAGAACACCAGUGGCGAAGGCGGCUCACUGGUCCGGUACUGACGCUGAGGUGCGAAAGCGUGGGGAGCAA
rnacentral:rRNA from 1 species